rnacentral:rRNA from 1 species
CCUACGGGUGGCAGCAGUCGAGAAUCAUUCACAAUGGGGGAAACCCUGAUGGUGCGACGCCGCGUGGGGGAAUGAAGGUCUUCGGAUUGUAAACCCCUGUCAUGUGGGAGCAAAUUAAAAAGAUAGUACCACAAGAGGAAGAGACGGCUAACUCUGUGCCAGCAGCCGCGGUAAUACAGAGGUCUCAAGCGUUGUUCGGAAUCACUGGGCGUAAAGCGUGCGUAGGCUGUUUCGUAAGUCGUGUGUGAAAGGCGCGGGCUCAACCCGCGAACGGCACAUGAUACUGCGAGACUAGAGUAAGGGAGGGGGAACCGGAAUUCUCGGUGUAGCAGUGAAAUGCGUAGAUAUCGAGAGGAACACUCGUGGCGAAGGCGGGUUCCUGGACAUUAACUGACGCUGAGGCACGAAGGCCAGGGGAGCGAAAGGGAUUAGAUACCCUAGUAGUC